AGUGAACGCUGGCGGCAGGCCUAACACAUGCAAGUCGAACGAACUCUUCGGAAUUAUUGGCGGCUGGGUGUGUCACACGUCGGAAGGUUCCUUUAUGUUCGGAAUACCUCUAGGACACUUGUGCUAACACCGAACGUGCCCUUCUGGCGAAAGAUUUAUCGCCUUUAGUGGUGCACGCGUCUGAUUAGCUUGUUGGUGAAGUAAUAGCUCACCAAGGCGACAAUCAGUAGCUGGUCAGAGAGAAUGGUCAGCCACACUGAGACUCGGACACGGCCCAAACUCCUACGGGAGGCAGCAGUGGGUGAUCUUGCGAAAUGGGCGAAAGCAUGACGCAGCCAUGCCGGGUGAACGAUGAAGGUCGUAGGAAUGUAAAAUUUUUUCAACGGGGACGAUAAUGACGGUACCCAGAGAAGAAGCCCCGGCUAACUUCGUG
rnacentral:rRNA from 1 species